GCUUGUCUCAAAGAUUAAGCCAUGCAUGUCUAAGUAUAAACGACUUUAUACUGUGAAACUGCGAAUGGCUCAUUAUAUCAGUUAUAGUUUAUUUGAUGGUCCUUGCUACUUGGAUAACCGUAGUAAUUCUAGAGCUAAUACAUGCAUUAAACCCCGACUUCUGGAGGGGUGCACUUAUUAGAUAAAGCCAACGCUGGGUAAAACCAGUUUCCCUUGGUGAUUCAUAAUAAUUAAGCGGAUCGCAUGGCCUUGUGCUAGCGACAGUCCACUCGAUUUUCUGCCCUAUCAUGGUUGAGAUUGUAAGAUAGAGGCUUACAAUGCCUACAACGGGUAACGGGGAAUUAGGGUUCGAUUCCGGAGAGGGAGCCUGAGAAACGGCUACCACAUCCAAGGAAGGCAGCAGG
rnacentral:rRNA from 1 species